rnacentral:tRNA from 1 species
UCCCGGUUAGCUCAAUUGGUCAGAGCGUCGGACUUUUAGCCUAUGAGCUCUCCUGGAGCUUCGCUAUGUCUAUCCGAAGGCUGCGAGUUCGACCCUCGCAUCGGGAG